rnacentral:rRNA from 1 species
AAGCUCGUAGUUGAAUUUCGAGAUCAAAUUGUUGGUCGUGCCUUGGUACGUACUGACAUUAUUGGUUUCUCCCUUCUGAAGAACCAUGAUGUCAUUAAUUUGGUGUCAUGGGGAAUCAGGACUGUUACUUUGAAAAAAUUAGAGUGUUUAAAGCAGGCUCGCGCUUGAAUACAUUAGCAUGGAAUAAUGAAAUAGGACGUAUAAUUCUAUUUUGUUGGUUUCUAGGAUUGACGUAAUGAUUAAUAGGGAUAGUUGG